rnacentral:rRNA from 1 species
UACCAGCACCCCGAGUGGUCGGGACGAUUAUUGGGCCUAAAGCAUCCGUAGCCGGUUCUGCAAGUCCUCCGUUAAAUCCAGCUGCUCAACAGAUGGGCCGCGGAGGAUACUACAGAGCUAGGAGGCAGGAGAGGCAAGCGGUACUCAGUGGGUAGGGGUAAAAUCCGUUGAUCCAUUGAAGACCACCAGUGGCGAAGGCGGCUUGCCAGAAUGCGCUCGACGGUGAGGGAUGAAAGCUGGGGGAGCAACCGG